UCAAUGACGACCAUCAGGCGAAUAAAAAAAAGAAAAGAAAAAGAACUCAUCGUUUCCUCAACUGUCUUUUGAUUUCAAAAAAAUUCUUCGUCUCCUCAACUCUGUCUUUUGAUCUCAACAACAACAACGAUAAAUAGCCCUAAUCUUUAACCUUGCGUCAAUCUCAAGUAGUUGUUUCGAGGAGGAUUAUUUUCAGAAUUUAGGGUUCCCUUUCUAAUCAACAGGUAAAUUGAAUUCAGACCUGUUCUCUUUCGAUCUCAACAGGUACACAAACGAUAACUCUUAACCAGGGUUUGGUUUUGGGAAGAGCAGCUGAGAAUGAGUCUAAAUCGGCAAGAAUGAGAAUGGGUUACUUGGAGAUGGGGGUUUGAGAGUUCUUGGAUGAUGAUAUGAGUUAGGUUGAGAUAGAUUGGCAACCAGAUGAAGAAAUCGAUCGAGAAAAAAUAUUCCAGUUGCAAAGCUGUUGUUGGUAUUGCUACCAGAGAAGCUACAGCAAUGGGGCAAUGGAUUCUGGUGUGUGUGCUCUGAGACUUGCAGGGACUGAAUUUGGGAUUGCAACUGUUGGUGAUGGCUGAGAAGAUACAUGUACCUAAAGGUCAUGAUUUGUGCAUCAUGGUAUUUGAACAAUGGCGCUUGACAAGAAGGCAACAAUAUAUGUUAGCAAUCACUAUAUAACGGAAUCUCCUUUCAUGCCAAAUGUAGAAGGUCUAGAAGAAGCCCAAUUUGAUGUGGAAUUAAUUCACUAAUAUUCUUUAUUCAGAUUUUUUAAAGGGGAAUAAUGGAUACAAGAACCUUCUUAAGAGUGCAUUGACAGGUGGUUGUAGUUGCUGAGAUCAGUCUGAAAAUAAAGGAAAAGGGCAUGAGUGUCUAUUCACGUGGCUUAGAAGAAGAAGCAGAUCAGGUGAAGCUAUCAGAUUCUUUGGUGAGAAUGAAUUCAACCAGAUGCACAUGCGGGACUCUUAUAUGUGGCUUCUGUAAAACUUGGUAAGUCAUUCUUGAUCUAGCCCGUGUAACGAACCCAUCAUCGUCACGUCAUCAUUUGUUUCUAGAGGUUUACCAUCUUUAUAUGGGUACUCAUAAUAUAUUUUAAAUUCAUUCUUAUGAAUGUUUUCUAGAUAAUCAAAUGAGUAAGUUAUCUUUCAUGAAUUCAGUUUCGACUUAUGUGACUUUUACUACUAAUUCCGUAUGAUGCAUCUCAUAAACCAUGUGUGACAAGAACAUGAUUCAUACAUCGUAAUUAUGAAGAUUAUGUUCUGUUUGUAGCUGCAGUAGGGGAAGGUAUCUGCGUCAACUUUUUAGAAAAUAUAGAAAUAUCCACAAGGCUAGAGAGGCUGCUCUACAUUUGGUUUGGAGAUAAACUAAUGUGCUUAUCAAGUGACAUUUUCAGCUAAUUCUUUAGCCUAUUUGUGGUGUAAAGUCGUCUACAUUUCGAACCUGCGUUUCCCCUUUGAAACUGUCCGUAACUUAAUUUUUGCUUUUGAUCUGUGUAUUGUUGUAUAAAUAGAAAAGAACUAUUGUUUUGUCGCAUAAAAAUAUUUAGUUAACAAUAUUAAAAACUCUUUA